rnacentral:rRNA from 1 species
UGGGGAAUAUUGGACAAUGGGCGAAAGCCUGAUCCAGCCAUGCCGCGUGAGUGAUGAAGGCCCUAGGGUUGUAAAGCUCUUUCAACGGUGAAGAUAAUGACGGUAACCGUAGAAGAAGCCCCGGCUAACUUCGUGCCAGCAGCCGCGGUAAUACGAAGGGGGCUAGCGUUGUUCGGAAUUACUGGGCGUAAAGCGCACGUAGGCGGAUACUUAAGUUAGGGGUGAAAUCCCGAGGCUCAACCUCGGAACUGCCUCUAAUACUGGGUAUCUCGAGUUCGAGAGAGGUGAGUGGAAUUCCGAGUGUAGAGGUGAAAUUCGUAGAUAUUCGGAGGAACACCAGUGGCGAAGGCGGCUCACUGGCUCGAUACUGACGCUGAGGUGCGAAAGCGUGGGGAGCAAACAGG